UACGGGGGGAGCAAACGUUGUUCGGAAUCACUGGGCGUAAAGGGCUCGUAGGCGGCCAACUAAGUCAGACGUGAAAUCCCUCGGCUUAACCGGGGAACUGCAUCUGAUACUGGAUGGCUUGAGUUCGGGAGAGGGAUGCGGAAUUCCAGGUGUAGCGGUGAAAUGCGUAGAUAUCUGGAGGAACACCGGUGGCGAAGGCGGCAUCCUGGACCGACACUGACGCUGAGGAGCGAAAGCCAGGGGAGCAAACGGG
rnacentral:rRNA from 1 species